GAGAGAGACAUGCGCGCAUAUCAAUAAGCGGAGGAAAAGAAACUAACAAGGAUUCCCUUAGUAACGGCGAGUGAAGCGGGAAGAGCUCAAAUUUGAAAUCUUCAAGGUUUUACCUUGACGAAUUGUAGUUUAAAGAAGUGUUUUCUGCUGAAGUUUUGGUAAAAGUUCUUUGGAAUAGGACAUCAUAGAGGGUGAGAAUCCCGUAUUUGACCAUUAUUUCAGCUUUGUGAUACACUUUCAAAGAGUCGGAUUGUUUGGGAAUGCAGUCCAAAAUGGGUGGUAAAUUUCAUCUAAAGCUAAAUAUUGGCGAGAGACCGAUAGCGAACAAGUACCGUGAGGGAAAGAUGAAAAGAACUUUGAAAGGAGAGUUAAACAGUACGUGAAAUUGUCAAAAGGGAAGCGUUUGACACCAGUGUUGUUUUCUCGAAAAUCAAUUAAAAAUGGCUCGAUUUUGUAUUGUUGAGACCUUAAAAGCUCACUGUACAUUUUUCGUGUCUUUUUUAAUGCACUUUUCGUUUAACAAGUCAACAUCAAUUUCUUUUGUUGUAAAAGGGUCAUUGGAAGGUGGCUUUCUUUUCGGAGAAAGUGUUUAUAGCCUUUGGCCUCUGCAAUCGAAGAGACUGAGGUCUGCAGCGUAGACUCUUCGGGGUUAGAUACAUUUGUGCUAAGUUAUAGCUUUUUAUAGACAACUUGUUGACUAUAAUUAGUCUUGUAGCUUACUCGCUUAUGCUAUUUUACCUACGCUUAGGAUGUUGAAGUCAUCGUAUCGCGC
rnacentral:rRNA from 1 species